UACGGGGGGGGCAAGCGUUGUUCGGAAUUACUGGGCGUAAAGGGCCAGUAGGCGGCCAACUAAGUCGGAUGUGAAAUCCCCAGGCUCAACUUGGGAACUGCAUCCGAUACUGGAUGGCUUGAAUUCGGGAGAGGGAUGCAGAAUUCCAGGUGUAGCGGUGAAAUGCGUAGAUAUCUGGAGGAAUACCGGUGGCGAAGGCGGCUACCUGGCACAUAACUGACGCUGAUACGCGAAAGCGUGGGGAGCGAACCGG
rnacentral:rRNA from 1 species